UUAUACGUUUUCUGGUGGAAAAAUACUCUUAUUUUCUGGUGGAACAAUGGUAUAUUUUAUAUUUUCCCCUCACUUCUGUGACUUCUGUCAUGCCAAAGCGCAUGACUUAAAGUCUACAGGUGGGAAUCACCUAUCUGCGAAGAGAUAUGGAACGGUCCUAUUGGCGGAUUGAGCUAAUCGCUAUGACAUAUAUCACAAUUAACGAAGAUUUACACGACAACGGACAUGACUUCACCAACCAAAAUCCCGCCCAUAUCGGACGAACAUGAAGGCCCGCAGCUCAAGCUGCAACUACUGGCGUACUCAUUCACCGACCCUGCAGUGCCAAGGCACAUUUUGGCAGCCAGGGUGCUGGAUGUGUCCACAAUUGUGGCUACCAACAUAAACUCAUUUGAGAGACGGCUGAAGGCAGAGCAGAAAAGAGUUUCUUGAAAAAAAAUUAAAAGAGGCCCAGAAGUGGAUGACAGAGGAUGAUGAAUUAAUGGCUGGAGCCAGUGCUGAACAUAUUGAUAGCAUCAAAAUGUCUUCGGAAGAAGAGAAACAA